UGUGGAUGGGCAGUGGCAGUACCAAAGACAUUGGUAAACUGAUGACUGGCUGGCUUUUUCUCCAGGCCUGUUUCUCAGCAGAGGGCAGCCUUGCCCAGGCGGGGCAACACCUGGAGGCCCUUAAAGAGCUGUGUGACACCCUGAGCCCUGAAGACGCCCACCGUUUAGCCCAAGCUCAGCUCAGGGAGUGUGAGAAGAGACUGGCUGCCAUCCAGCACCAGUUCAGUGGGGACAGAGACACACCUCCCCCUGACACACCUGGGUGAGCCAGAAUGGGUUGAAAACCUUUGAAUGGGUGGAAUGAACCACACAUUAGCUACAGAAUGUCUAUGUGAUGCCUGCAAUUGGAAUACUUGACUGCAUUGUUUUCAAUGUGCUUCAUUAGAAUCCCAGAACUGGGGAAAGAUCUGACUCCAAACAAGGAAUCAACAGUGCAGAGUGACAAAUCUUCAGUCACAGCCGAGGUUUCACCGGUUGUUGAAAAGAAGGUGAUUGACAAGGAGAUUGACAGGCCAACAGUCAUAGAUGAAAAUCCUGCCAAAAAAGCUGCAUUUCAAAGAUAUGACACUACCAAGAAGGCUCUGCAGGCUCAACUGGCCAAGAAUGCGAGUCAUCAAACAGACUUUACCAGUGACUCAGUCUCACUCAAAUACCUACACACACGUCUACAGGAAAUACAGGUACCCUACUCUUCACUGGACCAUGUAGUUCACAAAAUCAUGUAUUGAAUACUUGGUAUCAGUUAAUGGUGACCAUGUGUCAUUUGUGUGUCAUUAUCUCCUAUGGCAGACAAUGCAUCAGGACUCUGAGUCUCUGUGGUCUGAGUUUGACCACCAGUGUUCCCAGAACUCCCAGUAUAGCAGGGAAGGUGGUGGUGUGGAUCAGGACAGAGCUGAGCUGAAGGAACAGUUGCAAUGCCAGCAGUCAGCUCUGCAGAGGAGAGGCCGUUCUCUGAGGGAAGCCCUGAGACAGACAGACGCUACGGAGAACCACAUAGUUGAAUUCUCAGAACGCCUCGACUGCUUCAUCAGAGAAGCCAAGGACAUCACAGCGUUCACGCUGGCCAACACCAACAUCCUGACGGAUAUCAAGGUACACAAUAAGGCUAGCCUUUAAGAGAAAUUAUUAACCGUUUUCGGUUAGAGUUUGACUUCAGUGAUAUGCUGACGUUUACAUGUAUUGACUGAUACCUUUGCUUAAAUGUCGUGAACUUUCGUUUCCAACAAAUCUGUAUCUUAGGCGGUCUUUGUUCAUUCUCUCUCAACAGGACCUAGAUGAGAGCAUUCAGAGAGAACUAGACCAACUGUCCCGCUUUGAGUCCAGUGAGCUGGAUCCUAGAGAUCGCGAUCCCGUGACCCGUGUUGUCGAGGCCCACAAAACCAGUCUGGACGAGCUAAGACAGCAGGUCCGUAAAAGCGAGGCGGCGGCCC
rnacentral:lncRNA from 1 species